AGACCCGAAACCCGGUGAUCUAGCCAUGGGCAGGUUGAAGGUUGGGUAACACUAACUGGAGGACCGAACCGACUAAUGUUGAAAAAUUAGCGGAUGACCUGUGGCUGGGGGUGAAAGGCCAAUCAAACCGGGAGAUAGCUGGUUCUCCCCGAAAGCUAUUUAGGUAGCGCCUCGUGAAUUCAUCUCCGGGGGUAGAGCACUGUUUCGGCUAGGGGGCCAUCCCGGCUUACCAACCCGAUGCAAACUGCGAAUACCGGAGAAUGUUAUCACGGGAGACACACGGCGGGUGCUAACGUCCGUCGUGAAGAGGGAAACAACCCAGACCGCCAGCUAAGGUCCCAAAGUCAUGGUUAAGUGGGAAACGAUGUGGGAAGGCCCAGACAGCCAGGAUGUUGGCUUAGAAGCAGCCAUCAUUUAAAGAAAGCGUAAUAGCUCACUGGUCGAGUCGGCCUGCGCGGAAGAUGUAACGGGGCUAAACCAUGCACCGAAGCUGCGGCAGCGAACGUAUCACCCAAGACAACUUUGCGGAGUUGACGAUUGACGGAGCGAAGCGACGUCAAAGCGUUCAUUAAAGUCGAGUUGGCUUAGGGAUACGUUCGUUGGGUAGGGGAGCGUUCUGUAAGCCUGUGAAGGUGG
rnacentral:rRNA from 1 species